rnacentral:rRNA from 1 species
AUUGAACGCUGGCGGAAUGCUUUACACAUGCAAGUCGAGCGGCAGCACGGGGGCAACCCUGGUGGCGAGCGGCGAACGGGUGAGUAAUACAUCGGAACAUGCCCAGUCGUGGGGGAUAACACUUCGAAAGAAGUGCUAAUACCGCAUACGUCCUGAGGGAGCAAGCGGGGGAUCUCCGGACCUCGCGCGAUUGGAGUGGCCGAUGUCAGAUUAGCUAGUUGGUGGGGUAAAGGCCUACCAAGGCAACGAUCUGUAGCUGGUCUGAGAGGAUGAUCAGCCACACUGGGACUGAGACACGGCCCAGACUCCUACGGGAGGCAGCAGUGGGGAAUUUUGGACAAUGGGGGCAACCCUGAUCCAGCCAUUCCGCGUGAAUGAAGAAGGCCUUCGGGUUGUAAAGCUCUUUCGGCAGGAACGAAACGGCGAGCUCUAACAUAGCUUGCUAAUGACGGUACCUGAAGAAGAAGCACCGGCUAACUACGUGCCAGCCGCCGCAGUAACAC